ACAUCUGGAAACCAAGUACAAGCUAUGUGAUUUUCACAUAAUCUUCAAAUGGAGAGUCCCAUGAUCGAAGUUUAAGUGAAUUUGCUCUAUGAAAAUUUCAAAUCUCAAAAUGGCUGACAUGUUAGUGGCAGGCUUGAACAUAAUGCAUACGUUAUUGGAAGUUUUUAAAGCUUGGAGAAUAACUGUUCAAAAAGGAUUGAACUUUGUCGGAAAUAUCUACGGAGCAGGCAAAGGUGCUCGCAAGGACUUGGAAGGCAUCGGAUUCGGUGAAGGAAAUUUAGACGGACCAGGCAAAGGCGCUGAGAUUAAACGACAGAGGUCUAGUAUAUAACACUAGCUAAGUGGCUUGAGCUGGUGACAGUAUUGGAUUUUUAGGAUUACAAUUGGAAGCGUGCCGGUAAUGGCACACCGUUCCCAAAUACGGAUUAGAGAUAGUAGUCCGGGGAGGAGAAACUUACUGGUUUCUUGGAAGCCACGAACCGAAAUUGGAAGAGAAAACGAGAACAACACUAUGAGUGACGAGGAAGAAUUCAGGGGAUUUCCUGAGCAGGAUCAACCAAGGAAAGGUGUUAAAAGAAAGCUGAAUUUGGACCAGGUGGAUUUGCCAGCAUUAAGAAGGUCGAAACGGUUGCGAAAAGCAAAUCUCGAUCAUAGUUACAUUUACGAAUGAAUUGAAAUGAAUUUUAUGAAUUAUGUUCUAAAUGAAUUAUAACGAAGCCAUCAGGAAAGCCUGAUUUCGAAAUAUUUUCAAACUGGUUUCGAAUUACUUUCAAAUUGUAAUUAUUGUAAGCAAUCAUAUGUACAUAUUUUAUUAUUUAAUUAUAAGACAAUUUUAAGGGAAAGGUACUGAUAUGUACACCUUAUGUAUAACAUAGUGGAAACAGAGGUAACGCAAGUAACCAUCCACUUGUCAUCGAGAUAGAGCAACAAAUCUACCGAAAUUCCAAUAGGUCAAAGUCCUAUAGAGGUCGAUGCCCUUUAAGAAGAUUGUAGCCCGACACAUUUGCCGAUUAAAAAGCGAUUACACACGGGAUACCAGCUCACAGUACCUGUUCAUAGUUCAGGUAAUGCUAACUCUGACCCUGAAUUGAACGAAGCCGAAAAACAGAACAAAGAAGAAAACCUUUCGUUUGUCUCUUCUUCGACUGGAUUUUCUCCGAGAUUGUUGACAGCUCUUUUUGAAACGACAGAAGAAGGUAAAAAAAAUUUUAUAUCGAUCAACGCUUGGUGAACUAAGUGAAGCAAAACAACUAGCUUUGGCGGGUGUCAUUUCCAAAUACCAUCUCGCAACUAAAAAUCAACUUCGGCAAGAUGAUUUGGAGCGGUAUGCUUUGGCUAUAAUAACUGUCUUCAAAUUUGAACUCAAGGUAUACAAAUGAAAUGAAAAAUGUAGAAAAGAAAAUAUUUUAUAUUCUAGGAGAGUUACUACAUACCUCGAUCCGGAGAUCGCCGCAACUAUGGAGGAAAGCUAAAAAAAUAAAAUUGGUAAUUUGAAACAGAAAAAGAAAAAAAUGAAUGCAAAAGAAGAAGAAUAUUCGAAAAAAUGUAAACCGAUACAAAUAUUGUGCGAUGCGGAUACUAUCUGUGAACAAUCGAUUGAUGCUCAUAUAUGGCUCACUCUGAAUGAUACACCGUGAAGUACGGUGAUUGAUAAAUGGCCAAUAUGUUUUGACCGCGUAGAAUUUGCGAAACAAAAAGUUCGUCAAUAAAAUAUUAAAAACGUACGUGCAUUACAAAAAUCCGUACGGUUUUCAGCUGGUCCCGCGAUUCUAUUGUUGAUCUAAUUAAUAUUGAUAUGUUCAGCACAACUCCAAUAACAUUGCAUUAUGUAAGUAAUCGUUAUAUGUUUAGAAUUAAGAACAUUUUCUGUAUCGAUUUUAUAUAAAAAUAGAUCUCAAAGUGUUAUA